CUACGUGCCAGCAGCCGCGGUAAUACGUAGGUGGCAAGCGUUGUCCGGAAUUAUUGGGCGUAAAGCGCGCGCAGGCGGAUUGGUCAGUCUGUCUUAAAAGUUCGGGGCUUAACCCCGUGAUGGGAUGGAAACUGCCAAUCUAGAGUAUCGGAGAGGAAAGUGGAAUUCCUAGUGUAGCGGUGAAAUGCGUAGAUAUUAGGAAGAACACCAGUGGCGAAGGCGACUUUCUGGACGAAAACUGACGCUGAGGCGCGAAAGCCAGGGGAGCGAACGGGAUUAGAUACCCAGGUAGUCCUGGCCGUAAACGAUGGGUACUAGGUGUAGGAGGUAUCGACCCCUUCUGUGCCGGAGUUAACGCAAUAAGUACCCCGCCUGGGGAGUACGACCGCAAGGUUGAAACUCAAAGGAAUUGACGGGGGCCCGCACAAGCGGUGGAGUAUGUGGUUUAAUUCGACGCAACGCGAAGAACCUUACCAGGUCUUGACAU
rnacentral:rRNA from 1 species